rnacentral:rRNA from 1 species
CCUACGGGCGGUUGCAGUGAGGAAUAUUGGUCAAUGGACGAGAGUCUGAACCAGCCAAGUAGCGUGAAGGAUGACUGCCCUAUGGGUUGUAAACUUCUUUUAUAUGGGAAUAAAAUGUUCCACGUGUGGGAUUUUGUAUGUACCAUAUGAAUAAGGAUCGGCUAACUCCGUGCCAGCAGCCGCGGUAAUACGGAGGAUCCGAGCGUUAUCCGGAUUUAUUGGGUUUAAAGGGAGCGUAGGUGGAUUGUUAAGUCAGUUGUGAAAGUUUGCGGCUCAACCGUAAAAUUGCAGUUGAAACUGGCAGUCUUGAGUACAGUAGAGGUGGGCGGAAUUCGUGGUGUAGCGGUGAAAUGCUUAGAUAUCACGAAGAACUCCGAUUGCGAAGGCAGUUCACUGGACUGCAACUGACACUGAGGCUCGAAAGUGUGGGUAUCAAACAGGAUUAGAUACCCUAGUAGUC